rnacentral:rRNA from 1 species
UACGUAGGGUGCGAGCGUUGUCCGGAAUUAUUGGGCGUAAAGAGCUCGUAGGCGGUCUGUCGCGUCGGAUGUGAAAACCCAGGGCUCAACCCGGGAACUGCGUCCGAUACUGGAAGGCUUGAAUCCGGGAGAGGGAUGCGGAAUUCCAGGUGUAGCGGUGAAAUGCGUAGAUAUCUGGAGGAACACCGGUGGCGAAGGCGGCAUCCUGGACCGGCAUUGACGCUGAGGCGCGAAAGCCAGGGGAGCAAAGCGGG